rnacentral:rRNA from 1 species
CCAAUAGCGUAUAUUAAAGUUGUUGCAGUUAAAAAGCUCGUAGUUGAAUUUCGGGGUCAGCAGGUUGGUCGUGCCACUGGUAUGCACUGGCUUUACUGACUUCUCCUUCUUGAAGAACUGUAAUGCUAUUAAUUUAGUGUUGCAGGGAAACUGGACUGUUACUUUGAAAAAAUUAGAGUGUUUAAAGCAGGCUAACGCCUGAAUACAUUAGCAUGGAAUAAUGAAAUAGGACGUUUAAUCCUAUUUUGUUGGUUUCUAGGAUUGACGUAAUGAUUAAUAGGGAUAGUUGGAGGCAUUAGUAUUCAAUUGUCAGAGGUGAAAUUCUUGGAUUUAUUGAAGACUAACUACUGCGAAAGCAUUUGCCAAGGAUGUUUUCAUUAAUCAAGAACGAAAGUUAGGGGAUCGAAGACGAUCAGAUACCGUCGUAGUCUUAACCAUAAACUAUGCCGACUAGGGAUCGGAUGAUGUUAAUUUUUUAAUGACUCAUUCGGCGCCUUACG